rnacentral:rRNA from 1 species
CUGGCUCAGGAUGAACGCUAGCGGCAGGCUUAACACAUGCAAGUCGAGGGGCAUCGGGAGUAGCAAUACUUGCCGGCGACCGGCGCAAGGGUGCGUAACGCGUGAGCAACAUGCCCGUAUCAGGGGGAUAAUCCAUGGAAACGUGGUCUAAUACCCCAUAGUAAUUAUGUAAGGCAUCUUAUAUAAUUUAAAGCUUUGGUGGAUACGGAUUGGCUCGCGUGACAUUAGCUAGAUGGUAAGGUAACGGCUUACCAUGGCUACGAUGUCUAGGGGUUCUGAGAGGAAGGUCCCCCACACUGGAACUGAGACACGGUCCAGACUCCUACGGGAGGCAGCAGUGAGGAAUAUUGGACAAUGGAUGGAAAUCUGAUCCAGCCAUGCCGCGUGCAGGAAGAACCGGCCCUAUGGGUUGUAAACUGCUUUUGUAUGGGAGCAAUAAGGGCUACGCGUAGUCCGAUGAGAGUACCAUACGAAUAAGCACCGGCUAACUCCGUGCCAGCAGCUGC